rnacentral:sRNA from 1 species
GGACCGGUCAGUUCGGAUUGAAUUGUAUUUUUCGGUGUAGCCAAAAUUGUUACGGCGGAAUUUGUGAUCCUGCGAGUGGACUUUGCCUCAAUGGUUGCAACGGAUUCUCAAAUCCGCCUAUGUGCAAUAUUCCCUGCAUCGGAAGCCAUGGACAAAACUGCAUGUGUGACGCUAGUUGUCAAGUCUGUAAGACAGGCUCGAGGGUAUGCCAAUCGUGUCUGGAUGGUUACGUUGUUAGAUUGAACAAAACUACCGAAUGUAUUCCUAUGCCUGCUCGUGGGAUUGCCCUUUUUUCUACUUCCCUUUUACGGAAACGCGCGCCUUUAAUUUUAAGUGUACUCAUAUUUGAGACGCUUUUAGUGAUAUUGAUUGUUAUAUUUGUAUUUAUUUAUCAUCGAAAAACUCGUAUAGAUAAUCAUUCAGAAUCGGACUAAAAUAUUCUUUGAUCUGUAUCUGUGUAAAUAAACGUUACUAUGGAUGCCUUCA